GGACGCGGAGCUGUUGGGAUCGCGCCAUGGCCUGGGCCCCUCUCCUGCUCGCGGUGCUCGCCCACGGCUCAGGUUCCCUGGUCCAGGCAGAACUGACUCAGCCGCCCUCGGUGUCCAUGUCCCCGGGAGAAACCGUCCGGAUCACCUGCUCUGGUGGUGGCAGCUACUACAGCUGGUACCAGCAGAAGCCUGGCAGUGCCCCGGUCACUGUGAUAUAUAACGACAACCAGCGACCCUCGGGCAUCCCUGCACGAUUCUCCGCUUCCACCUCCGGCUCCACGAGCACCUUAACCAUCACCGGGGUGCAAGCCGAGGACGAGGCCGUGUAUUACUGUGCUGGCAGUGCUGGUAGUUGUGGUGCUGCCACGUUGACGCGAAGCAAUGGGGAAGUGAGACACAAACAUCCUGCUACAAUAGAGACCAUUGAACAGUGCUCCCUGGUCCAGGCAGCACUGACUCAGCGGCCGGCCUCGGUGUCCGUGUCCCCGGGAGGAACUGCCCGGAUCACCUGCUCUGGCAGUAGCGGCAGCUAUGGCUGGAUCCAGCAGAAACCUGGCAGUGCCCCGGUCACUGUGAUAUAUCUGAAUGACAAGUGA